GAUUCAUAAUAACUUAACGAAUCGCAUGGCCUUGCGCCGGCGAUGGUUCAUUCAAAUUUCUGCCCUAUCAACUUUCGAUGGUAAGAUAGAGGCUUACCAUGGUCUUAACGGGUAACGGAGAAUUAGGGUUCGAUUCCGGAGAGGGAGCCGGAGGAACGGCUACCACAUCCAAGGAAGGCAGCAGGCGCGCAAAUUACCCAAUGCUAAUUCAGCGAGGUAGUGACAAUAAAUACUGAUACGGGGCUCUUUCGGGUCUCGUAAUUGGAAUGAGUACAAUCUAAAUCCCUUAACGAGGAACAAUUGGAGGGCAAGUCUGGUGCCAGCAGCCGCGGUAAUUCCAGCUCCAAUAGCGUAUAUUAAAGUUGUUGCCGUUAAAAAGCUCGUAGUUGAACCUUGGACCUGGCUGAUCUGUCCUCCUAAUCGAGCGCACGGAUUCGGUCGGGUCUUUCCUUCUGGGGAGCCCUAUGCCCUUCACUGGGUGUAGUGGGGAACCAGGACUUUUAC
rnacentral:rRNA from 1 species